CUUCACCUGAAUGCAUGACUCUGCAACCUUAGGACUUGCAGAAUUAACAGAAUGCCGUCCUGAGCUUGUCGAGCUAUGCGUUUCUGGGC
rnacentral:pre_miRNA from 14 species